rnacentral:rRNA from 1 species
GUCCUCUUGUGGAGAAUUUGAGGUCUAGCCUGCCCACUGAUUUUAUUGAAGGGCCGCGGUAUUUUGACCGUGCAAAGGUAGCAUAAUCAUUAGUCUUUUAAUUGAAGGCUGGUAUGAAUGGUUGGACGAGGUGCUGACUGUCUCACAGCAGAUGCUGGUAGAAUUUAACAUUUAAGUUAAAAGGCUUAAAUAUAUUUAGAGGACGAGAAGACCCUAUAGAGCUUUAUACUACGAUUUUAUACGUUGUUUAGAUGAAUUGUUCUUAUACAUUUUCUAGUAUUUUAUUGGGGUGAUAGGAAGAUAAAAUAAACUCUUUUUUGUGUAAUCCAUUGAUUUAUGAUUUUUUGAU